CCGUGCCAGCAGCCGCGGUAAGUACGGAGGGUGCGAGCGUUAAUCGGAAAGUUACUGGGCGUAAAGACGCAUGCAGGCGGCCGUGUUAAGUCAGAUGUGAAAGACCCGGGGCGUUAACCUCGGAAUUGCAUUUGAAACUAGGCAGGCUAGAGUCUUGUAGAGGGGGGUAGGAAGUUUCAGGUGUAGCGGUGAAAUGCGUAGAGAUCUGAAGGAAUACCAGUGGCGAAGGCGGCCCCCUCGGACAAAGACUGACGCUCAGAUGCGAAAGCGUGGGGAGCAAACAGGAUUAGAUACCCUGGUAG
rnacentral:rRNA from 1 species